rnacentral:tRNA from 1 species
GCAGACGUGGCGGAAUUGGUAGACGCGCACGAUUCAGGUUCGUGUGGAAGUAAUUCUAUGAGAGUUCGAUUCUCUCCGUCUGCA